ensembl:lncRNA
GUUAUUGAUAGGUUACAAUCUUGUGAAAUUUCAGUUGUACAUUAAUGUUUGUCAGUCAUGUUGUAGGUGCACCACUUCACCCUUUGUGCCCACCCCCCACCCCACCUUUCCCCUGGUAUCCACUAAACUGUUCUUGGUCCAUAGUUUUAAAUUCCUCAUAUGAGUGGAGUCAUACACAGAUUAUCUUUCUCUCGCUGGCUUAUUUCACUUAACAUAAUUCUCUCAAGGUCCAUCCAUGUUAUUGCAAAUGGAAUGAUUUUGUUCUGUUUUGCAGCUGAGUAGUAUUCCAUUGUAUAUAUAUACCAUAUCUUCUUUAUCCAUUCGUCUGUUGCUGGACACUUAGGUUGCUUCCACGUCUUGGCUAUUGUAAACAGUGCUGCAAUAAACAUUGGGGUGCACAGGACUUUUGGGAUUGCUGACUUCAGGCUCUUUGGAUAAAUACCCAGUAGUGGGAUGGCUGGAUCGUAUGGUAGUUCUAUUUUCAGUUUUUUGAGGAAUCUCCAUACUGUUUUCCAUAGUGGCUGCACCAGUUUGCAUUCCCACCAGCAGUGUAUGAGGGUUCCUUUUUCUCCGCAACCUCUCCAACAUUUGUUGCUAUUAGUUUUAGAUAUUUUUGUCAUUCUAACGAGUGUAAGGUGAUAUCUUAGCGUAGUUUUGAUUUGCAUUUCCCUGAUGAUCAGCGAUGACGAGCAUCUUUUCAUGUGCCUAUUGGCCAUCGGUAUAUCUUCUUUGGAGAAAUGUCUGUUCAUGUCUCCAGCCCAUUUUUUGAUUGGGAUGUUUGAUGUUUUGUGAUUGAGUUGCGAGAGUUCUUUAUAUAAUAUGGAUAUUAAGCCUUUGUCAGAUAUAUGACUUGCAAAUAUUUUUUCCCAGUUAGUGGGUUGUUUUUUUGUUUCAAUCCUGUUUUCAUUUGCCUUGAAGAAGCUCUUUAAUCUGAUGAAGUCCCAUUUGUUUAUUCUUUCUAUUGUUUCCUUUCUCUGAGAAGGCAUGGUGUCUGAAAAGAUCCUUUUAAUACUGAUGUCAAAGAGUGUACUGCCUACGUUUUCUUCCAGAAGCCUUAUGGUUUCAGGUCUCACCUUUAGGUCUUUAAUCCAUUUUGAGUUUAUUUUGGUGAAUGGUGAAAAAGAAUGGUCAAUUUUCAUUCUUUUACAUGUGGCUUUCCAGUUUUCCCAGCACCAUUUGUUGAAAAGACUUUCUUUUCUCCAUUGUAUGCCCUCAGCUCCUUUGUCAAAGAUAAGCUGUCCAUAGAUGUGUGGUUUUAUUUCUGGGCUUUCAAUUCUGUUCCAUUGAUCUGUGCACCUGUUUUUGUACCAGUACCAUGCUGUUUUGAUUACUGUAGCUUUGUAGUAUGUUUUGAAGUCAGGGAUUGUGAUGCCUCCCGUUUUGUUCUUUUUUCUCGGGAUUGCUUUAGAAAUUCGGGGUCUUUUGUUGCCCCAUAUGAAUUUUAGGAUUCUUUGUUCUAAUUCUGUAAAGAAUGUCAUUGGGAUUCUGAUUGGGAUGGCGUUGAAUCUGUAGAUUGCUUUAGGUAGAAUGGACAUUUUAACUAUGUUUAUUCUUCCAAUCCAUGUACAUGGAAUGUCUUUCCAUAUCCUUAUGUCGUCAUCCAAUUCUCUCAGAAAGGCCUUGUAAUUUUCAUUAUAUAGGUCCUUCACUUCCUUAGUUAAAUUUACCCCAAGGUAUUUUAUUCUUUUUGUUGCGAUUGUGAAUGGUAUUGUAUUCUUGAGUUCUUUUUCUGUUGGUUCAUUACUGGAGUAUAGAAAUUCUACUGAUUUAUGCAAAUUGAUUUUAUACCCUGAAACUUUGCUGUAGUUGUUGAUUACUUCUAACUGUUUUCCAAUGGAUUCUUUGGGGUUGUCUAUAUAUAAGAUCAUGUCGUCUGCAAACAGCGAGAGUUUCACUUCUUCCCUCCCUAUUUGGAUUCCUUUUUCUUGCCUGAUUGCUCUGGCCAGGACCUCCAGUACUAUGUUAAAUAAGAGUGGUGAUAGAGGGCAUCCUUGUCUUGUUCCUGUUUUCAGGGGGAUGGGGUUCAGUUUUUGCCCAUUGAGUAUGAUGUUGGCUAUGGGUUUGUCGUAUAUGGCCUUUAUUAUGUUGAGGUAGUUUCCUUCUAUGCCCAUUUUGUUCAGAGUUUUUAUCAUAAAUGGCUGUUGGAUCUUGUCAAAUGCCUUCUCUGCAUCUAUUGAGAUGAUCAUGUGGUUUUUAUUCCUCAGUUUUGUUGAUGUGGUGUAUCACAUUGAUUGAUUUGCGGAUGUUGAACCAUCCCUGUGUCCCUGGUAUGAAUCCCACCUGAUCCUGAUGUAUGAUUCUUUUGAUGAAUUGCUGAAUUCUGGUUGCCAAAAUUUUGUUUAGAAUUUUUGCAUCUAUGUUCAUCAGUGAUAUUGGCCUGUAGUUCUCUUUUUU